GGCUUGGUGGUGUAGUGGUUAUCACGUUUCGUUUACAGCUCAUUGUAAACCGUCACUUCAAGUGCAUCCUGAUGUACGAGGUCCGAAAAGGUCGCGAGUUCGAUCCUCGCCCGAGUCA